rnacentral:rRNA from 1 species
UCAAGCGCAUAAGGGCUUCUGACGGAUGCCUUGGCAUUGAGAGGCGAUGAAGGACGUGGCACGCUGCGAUAAGAGCCGGGGAGGCGCGAGCACCCUUUGAUCCGGCUAUCUCCGAAUGGGGAAACCCACCUUUAUGGUCACUCCACUUGUCUUCAGCUUCGGCUGGAUACGUAGUGGGUUGGUCAGAAGAGGUAUAAUGGGCUGAAUACAUAGGCUCCAUUAAGCAAACCCAGGGAACUGAAACAUCUCAGUACCUGGAGGAAAGGACAUCAACCGAGACUCCCGUAGUAGUGGCGAGCGAACCGGGACCAGGCCAGUGCUGUCGUGACAUAAAGCUGAACGACUUGGAAAGGUCGGCCAUAGUGGGUGAUAGCCCCGUAAGCGUCAAAUAGCGACAGACUCGAGUAGGGCGGGACACGUGAAAUCCUGUCUGAACAUGGGGGGACCACCCUCCAAGCCUAAGUACUCCUCAAUGACCGAUAGUGAACAAGUACCGUGAGGGAAAGGUGAAAAGCACCCCGACAAGGGGAGUGAAACAGAUCCUGAAAUCGGAAGCCUACAAGCAGUCGGAGCCACCGAGCGUGGUGACGGCGUACCUUUUGUAUAAUGGGUCAGCGACUUCAUGUGCCGUGCAAGCUUAAGCCGUUAGGUGUAGGCGCAGCGAAAGCGAGUCUGAAUAGGGCGAAUAAGUACGUCGCAUGACGACCCGAAACCAGGUGAUCUAUCCAUGAGCAGGUUGAAGGUAAGGUAACACUUACUGGAGGACCGAACCGGUGAAUGUUGAAAAAUUCUCGGAUGACUUGUGGAUAGGGGUGAAAGGCCAAUCAAACCUGGACAUAGCUGGUUCUCCGCGAAAACUAUUUAGGUAGUGCCUCAGACGGACUCCUUGGGGGGUAGAGCACUGAAUGGAUGCGGGGGGAGCGAUCUCUACCAAUUCUAAUCAAACUCCGAAUACCCAAGAGAGAUAUCUGGGAGACACACGGCGGGUGCUAACGUCCGUCGUGAAAAGGGAAACAACCCUAACCAUCAUCUAAGGCCCCCAAGUACUGGCUAAGUGGGAAACGAUGUGGGUUUGCUUUGACAACCAGGAUGUUGGCUUAGAAGCAGCCAUCAUUUAAAGAAAGCGUAACAGCUCACUGGUCAAGCGAACCUGCGCGGAAAAUGUAACGGGGCUCAAGCCAGUCGCCGAAGGUAUGGGUGUGCAUUUAUGCACGCGGUAGCGGAGCGUUCCGUAAGCCGUUGAAGGUGAGGCGUGAGCCUUGCUGGAGGUAUCGGAAGUGAGAAUGCUGACAUGAGUAGCGAUAAAGAGUGUGAGAGACACUCUCGCCGAAAGCCCAAGGGUUCCUGCGUAAAGCUAAUCUGCGCAGGGUUAGUCGGCCCCUAAGGCGAGGCCGAAAGGCGUAGUCGAUGGGAAUCAGGUGAAUAUUCCUGAACCAGUUGGAAGUGACGGAUCUGGUAAAUUGUCUAGGCUUAUUGGAUUGCUCUGGGCAGUGAACAGGUCCCUGGAAAUAACUCCAACGGAGACCGUACCCGAAACCGACACAGGUGGGCAGGUAGAGUAUACCAAGGCGCUUGAGAGAACUAUGCUGAAGGAACUCGGCAAAUUGCACGCGUAACUUCGGGAUAAGCGUGACUCUUAUUUGGGCAACCAGAUAAGAGUGGCACAGGCCAGGGGGUAGCGACUGUUUAUCAAAAACACAGGGCUCUGCGAAGCCGUAAGGCGACGUAUAGGGUCUGACGCCUGCCCGGUGCCUGAAGGUUAAAGGGAGUUGUGCAAGCAGCGAACUGAAGCCCAGGUAAACGGCGGCCGUAACUAUAACGGUCCUAAGGUAGCGAAAUUCCUUGUCGGGUAAGUUCCGACCUGCACGAAUG